rnacentral:rRNA from 1 species
UACGUAGGGUGCGAGCGUUGUCCGGAAUUAUUGGGCGUAAAGAGCUCGUAGGCGGUGUGUCACGUCGUUCGUGAAAACCUGCAGCUUAACUGUGGCGUGCGGUCGAUACGGGCAUCACUGGAGUUCGGCAGGGGAGACUGGAAUUCCUGGUGUAGCGGUGGAAUGCGCAGAUAUCAGGAGGAACACCGGUGGCGAAGGCGGGUCUCUGGGCAGUAACUGACGCUGGAGGAGCGAAAGCGUGGGGAGCGAACAGG